rnacentral:lncRNA from 1 species
CUCACCCAACGGUGAGAUUUCUUUGUUGCAAUGUUGGAGUCUGAGAUAACACUGUUGGAAGCUGCAGCCAGACUCGUAGCCGAUGCCAUCUUUUAUUGUGUAUUGUUUACCAGCAUUCUAAACUAAGGAGGCAAAGGAACAAAGACACGCAGGACUCCCGGGGCCCUGGAUGGAGGCUGGCAGCUACAGACAGCACCAGCACGUCUGAGGGACAACCAGGAGGUGCCUCUGGCUGUGGAGCUCAGGUUUGCCUUUGGAAAAGAAUGAGAAGAGCUGGUAAACUCAGCUUCCUCGCUUCUGCGCCUUAG